rnacentral:rRNA from 1 species
AGUGAACGCUGGCGGUAGGCCUAACACAUGCAAGUCGAACGGCAGCACAGUAAUAUCUUGCUCUUACUGGUGGCGAGUGUCGUACGUGUUAGGUAUACAUCGUAAUCUACUUUUUCUUGGGUGAUUACGUAGGGUAACUUACUCUAAUACCUCAUACUUCCUACUUUUUAAAUCAUUGGAUCUUCUUACCUUGCGCGUUUGUAUUAGCCGAUUUCGGAUUAGCUAGUUGGCGGGGUAAAGUCCCACCAAGGCGACGAUCCGUAGCUGGUCUGAGAGGAUGAUCAGAGACACUGGAACUGAGACACGGUCCAGACUCCUACGGGAGGCAGCAGUGGGGAAUAUUGGACAAUGGGCGCAAGCCUGAUACAGAAAUACCGCGUGGGUGAAGAAGGACUUCGGGUUGUAAAGCCCUGUUGUUGGGAAAGAAAAGAAGCAGGUUAAUACCCCGCUGUUAUGACGGUACCAAAAGAAUAAGCACCGGCUAACUUCGUG